UACGUAGGCAGCGAGCGUUGUUCGGAAUUACUGGGCGUAAAGAGUGUGUAGGCGGUGUUCCCAGUCUGUUGUGAAAUCUCCCGGCUUAACUGGGAGGGUGCAGCGGAAACUAGAAUGCUAGAGGGUGGGAGAGGUAAGCGGAAUUCCUGGUGUAGCGGUGAAAUGCGUAGAUAUCAGGAGGAACACCGAUUGCGAAGGCAGCUCGCUGGGACGUCACUGACGCUGAGACGCGAAAGCGUGGGGAGCAAACAGG
rnacentral:rRNA from 1 species